AGAGUUUGAUCAUGGCUCAGAACGAACGCUUGCGGCGUGCUUAACACAUGCAAGUCGAACGAGAAAGGGGACUUCGGUUCCUGAGUAAAGUGGCGCACGGGUGAGUAACGCGUAGAUAAUCUACCCUUGUGUACGGGACAACAUCGGGAAACUGGUGCUAAUACCGAAUACGUUUCUAAUAUAGCGAUAUAUUUGAAAGAAAGAUGGCCUCUUCAUGAAAGCUAUCGCACGAGGAUGAGUCUGCGUACCAUUAGCUAGUUGGUGGGGUAAUGGCCCACCAAGGCGACGAUGGUUAGCGGGUCUGAGAGGAUGAUCCGCCACACUGGCACUGGAACACGGGCCAGACUCCUACGGGAGGCAGCAGUGAGGAAUUUUGCACAAUGGGGGAAACCCUGAUGCAGCGACGCCGCGUGAGUGAUGAAGGCCUUAGGGUCGUAAAACUCUGUCAAUAGGGAAGAAAUGUGUAUUGGUUAAUACCCAGUACAUUUGACGGUACCUAUAAAGGAAGCACCGGCUAAAUCCGUGCCAGCAGCCGCGGUAAUACGGAUGGUGCGAGCGUUGUUCGGAAUUACUGGGCGUAAAGGGCGCGUAGGCGGCCUGCCAAGUCAGAUGUGAAAGCCCACGGCUCAACCGUGGAAGUGCAUCUGAAACUGGUAGGCUUGAGUACUGGAGAGGAAAGUGGAAUUCCUGGUGUAGAGGUGAAAUUCGUAGAUAUCAGGAGGAAUACCGGUGGCGAAGGCGACUUUCUGGACAGAUACUGACGCUGAGGCGCGAAAGCGUGGGGAGCAAACAGGAUUAGAUACCCUGGUAGUCCACAGCUGUAAACGAUGUGCACUAGGUGUAGGGGGUCGUUGACCCUUUCUGUGCCGCAGCUAACGCAUUAAGUGCACCGCCUGGGGAGUACGGUCGCAAGAUUAAAACUCAAGGAAUUGACGG
rnacentral:rRNA from 1 species